GGGAAGCGGCGAACGGGUGAGUAACACGUAGGUAAUCUGCCCAUCAGACGGGGACAACGAUUGGAAACGAUCGCUAAUACCGGAUAGGACGAAAGUUUAAAGAUGCUCCUGGCAUCGCUGAUGGACGAGCCUGCGGCGCAUUAGCUAGUUGGUAGGGUAAAGGCCUACCAAGGCGACGAUGCGUAGCCGACCUGAGAGGGUGAACGGCCACACUGGGACUGAGACACGGCCCAGACUCCUACGGGAGGCAGCAGUAGGGAAUCUUCGGCAAUGGGCGAAAGCCUGACCGAGCAACGCCGCGUGAAUGAAGAAGGCCUUCGGGUUGUAAAAUUCUGUUAUAAGGGAAGAAAGGUGAUAGGAGGAAAUGACUAUCAAUUGACGGUACCUUAUGAGAAAGCCACGGCUAACUACGUGCCAGCAGCCGCGGUAAUACGUAGGUGGCAAGCGUUAUCCGGAAUUAUUGGGCGUAAAGAGCGCGCAGGUGGUUAAUUAAGUCUGAUGUGAAAGCCCACGGCUUAACCGUGGAGGGUCAUUGGAAACUGGUUGACUUGAGU
rnacentral:rRNA from 1 species